rnacentral:lncRNA from 1 species
UUUGAUUCCAUUGUGAUAGAAGAACUCACAUUAUAUGAUUUAAAUUAUUUUAAACUGGUUAAAGUUUGUGUUAUGGCUUUGUUUAUAUAGUCUAUCUUGUAUAUUUUCUGAAAGCAUUUGGAAAGAAUGUAUAUCUAGUGUUUCUGGCUAGGAAUUCCAUAAAUAUGGAUUAGAUUCUGUUGGUUGAUGGUGUUGUUUAGUUCUGAGUUCUUGCUGAUUUUCUGUCUAGUUGUUCUUGUUAAGAGAGGGUGUUGAAGUAUCCAACUUUGAUUGUAGAUCUAUUUUUCCUUUGACUCCUUUCGGUUUUUAUGUCAUUUAUUUUGUAACUUUGUUGUUUGGUACAUACAUAUUUAGGAAUGCUAUGUCCUCUUUUAUCAUCAUAUAAUAUCCUACUCUGUCAACUUCUUCCCCACUUUCUGGACAUUUUAUUCCUUCUGAUGUCUACUUUAUCUGACAUUAGUAUGGUCACUCCUGAUAUAUUUUAUUAACAUUUGCAUAAUAUAUUUUCCAUCUUUUUACAUUCAAUCUGCCUAUAUCAUUAUAUUUGAAGUGAAAUUUCUUGUAGGCAGCAUACAGUUGGACAUUUUUUAUUACAUGUACCCAUAUUUUUGUUUGCUGUAUUUUUCUCCUUCACUAAUAUCCCAAGAUUCCCUUUUUUUAAAAGUAGGCUUCAUGCUCAUCAUGGGGUUCAAACCAAUGACCCUGAGAUCAAGAUUCACAUUCUCUACCAACUGCCAGCCAGGAACUCCCCUUUUUAUUUAAUUAAAAUUUUUACGGAUUUAUUUUUAAGCAAUCUCUAUACCCAAUGUGAGGCUUGAACUUACAACCCUAGAUCGAGCCACAUCUCUUACUUAGUCCCAAGAUUCCUUUUUUUAAAAUGGAUUCUUUUCCAUUUGGAGAACUUCCAUCAGCCAUUCUUUUAGGGUAGGUGUACUGACAACAAAUUCUCUUUCUGGAAGAUAUUUUCACUGGAUAUAGAAUUCUGGGCUUCAGAUAAGAAAUAUGAGAACCUGGAUUACUGAUUUAAAUAUAUGUGAAGAUAUGUUAAAGCCAACUGAUGGAGUUUAAAAUGCUGAAUCUACUUGAUCUUGAUUCUAGGAACACUCUAUUUUCAAUGACACAGGAACACAAGAAUAGAUCAAAGGAGCAGAAAACAUUGUCCUUAUCACUAAGUAAUAUGGCUCUGCAAUGAACAAUAUAUUUUAUUGUGGUUAAAAACAUAGGGCAGCCCGUGUGGCUCAAUGGUUUAGUGCCACCUUCGUCACAGGGCGUGAUCCUGGAGACCCAGGAUCCCAUGUCGGGCUCCCUGCAUGGAGCCUGCUUCUCCCUCUGCCUGUGUCUCUGCCUCUCUCUCCUCUCUGUGUUUCUCAUGAAUGAACGAAUGAAUGAAUGAAUAAAUAAAUAAAUAAAUAAAUAAAUAAUAAAAACAUAACAUAAAAUUUACCAUCAUAGCCAUAUUUUGGUGUUCAGUUAGUGUUAAGUACAUUCACAUUGUUGUGAAACAGAUCUCCAGAACAUUUUCAUUUUGCAAAUCUGAAACUUUAUGCUCAUUAAACAAAACUCCUCUUUACCUCCUCCCCAAGUCCCUGGUAACCACCAUUCUACUUCUGUUUGUAUGAAUUUAAUAACUUUACAUAUAUGAUUUAAGUGGAAUCAUACAGUACUUACCUUUUUGUGACUAUAUCAUUUCAUUUAGAAUAAUUCCCUCAAAGUUCAUCCCUGUUGUAGCAUGUGAAGGCUUGCCUUCCUUUUUAAGGCUGAAAAAUAUUCUAUUCAU